GAUGAACGCUGGCGGCGUGCCUAAUACAUGCAAGUCGAGCGAACAGACGAGGAGCUUGUUCGUUUGACGUGAGCGGCGGACGGGUGAGUAACAUGAGGAUCACCUACCUAUAAGACUGGGAUAAUUUGGGGAAACCGGAGCUAAUAGCGGAUAAUAUAUUGAACCGCAUGGUUCAAUGGUGAAAGACGGCUUUGCUGGCUGUUAUAGCUGGAUCCGCGCUGCAUUAGCUAGUUGGGAAGGUCACGGCUUACCAAGGGAACGAUGCGUAGCCGACCUGAGAGGGUGAUCGGCCACACUGGAGCUGAGACACGGACCAGAGUCCUACGGGAGGGAGCAGUAGGGAAUCUGCGGCAAUGGGCGGAAACCUGACGGAGCAACGCCGCGUGAGUGAUGAAAGUCUUCGGAUCGUAAAACUCUGUUAUUAGGGAAGAACAAAUUUAUAAGUAACUAUGCACGUCUUGACGGUACCGAAUCAGAAAGCCACGGCUAACUACGUG
rnacentral:rRNA from 1 species